AAAGCAGGUUGCAAUUGCAGCUCUUCUUUCUGUGGAAUUGCUGUCAUUAAUCCUGCUGAGAGUAAAUAUGUCAGACCGUUUGGUUUCACCUUAUCAUAGGAGGAAUCAUUGUUUCCUGACAUUAACAGCU
rfam:Xenopus laevis strain J chromosome 8L, whole genome shotgun sequence.